AUGAUGGAAAAGACUAAUCAGCACAUUAUACGUCAACAAGGGGCACGGCCCAGCGGCACACAUGAUACGUGCCACCCUUAUUUUCACAACACCUUAUACGUGUAUCAACAGCACACGCUAAUGGCCAGUCAUCUAGUUCUCCGCGACGAUGAUUUCCGGCUGUGCGUCGGCGUCGGCGUCGACCAUUGCGGGCUGGCAGAAGACGACCUUGAGCUCGCCGGGCGCGUAGCAGUGCUGCUCCACGGGCUCCCUGUCGACCGGCGUCGUCCGCGUCAGCGGGCACCGCUGCUUGAAGUACCCGGGUGGCCCAUUGCACGCGACCACGCAGCCGCCCGCGCCCACCACGCGCUGCGCCGGCGGGCACCCGGCGUUCAGGUCCGCCGCGCACCCCAGGGCCGGGCACGGCCCGUCGCCGCCGAUGGCCUGCGGGCUCACCACCACCGGCACGUUGAACCCGUCCACCAGGCUCACGCUGUACACCGCCAGGUCCGGCCGCGGCGCGCCCUCGGCCGAGUGCACGGUCAGCUGCACCACGCCCGCGGGCCGCUCGCUCCCCGUCUCGCACCGCGGCGGGGACGCGCAGCCGGUGCGCGCCACCAGCUUCCCGGACCAGAAGAUCGGCGGGAAGGUGAAGGAGACGAGCCCGUGGCCGUUGCCCUCGAGGCGGAUGUUGUUGUCGCAGAUGGAGGGGAAGCCCCUGUUGGGGGUCACCAGCGGCCACACGGGGUACGGGCACAGGUUGUGCAGGGUCAGCGUGGUGCCGGCCGCCGGUGCCGCCAGGAAGGCGGCGGCCAGCAGGGUGCCGAUCACGAGGCGCUCGCCCAUGCCAGCCAUAGUCUCUGCGCUACUUGUUUCUCGGCUUUGCAGGGUGCUGCUUUGACGUUCAACAGACGUGCAGGCUAG
rnacentral:rRNA from 1 species